rnacentral:lncRNA from 1 species
GGGGAACCGAAAAAGCAAAAGGGGGGAGGGGAGGGACAAGAAGAUUACAAGAGGGAAGCAGAAGAGUUUAGAGCUGACGGCUGUUCCUGGGGAAGAACUGCUAGAUGAGACCGAUUCACAAACAUUACUGUAGGGAAAGCAAAGCUUCUCAAACCUUCUGCGUUCUGACACAGACCUUCCCAGGUAUCCAGAUCUUCUCCCAAUCCCACCAGCCCCACCCCCCACCUCCACCCCCCACUUAUUUUCAGGAAACUCCAGACCCUCAAGCUACAUAGGGAGAGAAAUGAGGCCCGAAUUGGGGGGUGGGAUGGGGGGCAGCCGCAACUAAUCAGUCCAGGAGGGAAGAAGGGGCGGAGGCAAAAAAGGGCAGCAGUAGGCGGACUUGGGGGGGGGUAAUCUUGAAACUACCCCGGCGGGGAGUAGGGCAGGCGGUGGAUAUUCCGGGGUAGGAACCGCGAUCGCAGCGCUGCCAGAGGUUGUUUUUUAAGAAGCAAAACUGUUGGCGGAGACGUGAGCGCUGGAAGUCGAAGGGGAGGAGGAAGGAGACGCGAAGCCUGGGCGGCCGAGGAGGGCUGCCGGCACAAAGGAGGCGGACUCGCGGCGGCUGCGUCUGCCCCGGCCCGGGGAGCGCGGCCCACGGCCCUAAGAGCCCGAAGUCCCGCUCUGGCAGCUAGAAAUAAAGUUUACAUUCUCCUGAGACCGCACCCCCAGCCUCCCACCCAGGACCGCACAUCUCUGCGUCCUCCUCCCCCAAACUCCACUCGGAACUCUGAGAAUCACCCCAGCCUUCCAGCCAGCACAACAAAGAGACACACCGACCGGCGAGGGUAAACAGCGGCGGCAGGGAGCAGGGCGGGCAGGGCGAGCGUCUCCAGAUAAGCAACUCCGGAGUCCUCCCUGCUUGCAGGAGCGUAGUUUCUCGUUUUCUGUUUUUACCGGCUUCAAAACAUUUGGAAUUUUCAAGCUUCACCCGUACCCUUCACACCCGAAGAUUUUUAACUCACCUUUACUUUCGAACUGAGAGUUGCGGUGGAUGGGAUUUUUCCUUCCCCAGAUGGUUGAAGGUUAAGGUUUUUGGAAUCCCCACCACCUCCUUAUUUCUGUUAUAAUUUCUGCAAGAAAAGUAUAAAGAGAGUUGGAGUGGAGGUGAGAUUGGUGAUCGGGAAAGCCCUUGACUCCCUCCUUCUCCGUCUUCCGCCUCUCUCUCUCUGAUUAGUUCCUAUCCAGCAGCAGAUUGAAGCAGGAGAUGAUUCUUCUCAAGGUUUGCUCAGCAGCUUCACUUCUAGGCGAAGGCUUCAUGAACCAAGUGACGUCAACCAACAAGGCUUCUCUCUCUCUCUCCUCUCUCUAACAAUGAAAGUUGCUGUUAACAAGGGAAAAAAGAGAGAGAAUUGUUUAUACCAUUUCAGUUCCAAUAAUAAAUGACCUAUCAGCUCCUAAAGGAGCCAAGGGAGGGAGGGGGUUGCUGCUUCUUUCCAAGAAUACUGUAGCUUCGAGUUUGCAUGGUUCCUUGUCCCAGGAAAAAGUUAAGAAACUUAAAUGUUUUGUUUUGCUUUUAAAAGCAGACAGGACAGAAAACGGGAUUGAACAUUUAUUUUUAAAAAACUGAUUAAUAGAUGGCAUAGCUUAACCAUCUCCACCUAAACUUUUUAUAUUCGCAAAUUCAGAAUUCUGUUGAAGUCUACAAAACCAACUAAAUUAAUAUGCCUAUAAUUUGUAGAUGUUAGGAUUCAAAAACCAAGAUGCAAAAUGGUACCAUGGUAAAAUGCUACUACCUUUACAUCGGCGAGUUAAAACUGGCUGUGAUGUUUAUGCACUGAGUUAAAAUAAAAUUUACAUGAAAGAUGUUAAAGUAGUAAAUUGUUUUAAAGAUUCGUACAAACUAUAAACAGUAAUCUCAAUCUUUUUUUUCCAGUUUCUUAGAACUUAAAAAAAAAAAAGAUAGCUAACUGUAGAAUUAAACACCUUUUUGAAAAUCAGAUUAUGAGUAAAACUUGAUAGCUCAUUUACUCCAUUCUCUUAAAUAUACACCCGAUGUACUAUUGGUCUGAUCCCCACAAUCUCUUCCAACUUUGUUUUUAACCUUCCACUCCCCCCACAGUUCCCACAUCCUGCAACCAAUCAAGUUAAACUAAAGGUAGUGUACCCUAUUUAUUCCCUCCCACAUCCCACUCCACAGCUUCCUAAAAUGAUUUAUUAAAGGGGGGGAAAAAGCUUACUCAUGAUAACACUUUAUUACCCAUGAAGAUAUGUUUAAAAAAAAAACUUCACUCAUUGAGGUAGUGUUUUCUCUUAACACAUUAAAAUCUCAAAGUUGAUAGAAUUACAAAUUGCAUAAUUUAAUUUUCAGGAUGAAGAACAAGUAAAAAUUAAGCCACCAGAGAAUAAUUUGACCAUGCACACAUAUUUUAUACAUACAUAUGAUGAUAAAUGUAUCUUAAAAGAUGCUAUUGUUUUAUGUUUUCUCCUCAACCACUGGCUGUGAUUUUAAUUGUGCUGGAGGAUCUUCAUUAGUAUUAACACAUGGGGAGAUUUCACAAAGCUGCUUCAUUAGGAAAAAAAAAAAAAAAGCUGGCAGACUAGGUCUUUUUGCAUGCACUGAGAAUGUCAGCCUUACCUCGGUCAUUUGUAACAUAAUAAGUGCAAGUACAAUGAUUGCAAUGCAGGAGCUCUGGGGGAAGGGCAGAAAUACUGCCUGUCUAAUAGGGAUAUCUGAGAAGAAGCCUGCUCAUUACAUAGUAAAAUGUAUGCUAAAAAUUAGUGAAGAUGAUGUCUCAGGAGACUGAUGCUAAAUAAAUUAAUGUGCUGAUAUGUUUUUAAUUAUUAUUUUUGUAGUAGUUUAUUUCAUUCUCAGGAUUCACAUUGAGCAGCAAAGCUGUGCUACACUUAUUGAUUUUUUUCCCCUGCCACAUUCCCGGAAUACAGAUUUUAAUCAUUUCACUACACCACACUCAGUAAUUUCAUUAAAAACUGGAAUCUUCCAUCCCCCAAAAAGCAUUUAAUUUCAAUGACACACAAUUUCUCUUUUAGCAGCAAACUGUCUCUACAGUAAAAGCUGGCCUAAGGUUCAAAUGCAUAAUUUAAUCCUGAGUUUUCCAUGCUCUGCAUUCCUUUCAAGCUAUAAUUUGAGUAACUACCUAAUAACUGUAAUAAGGAUAAUAAUUUCCUUAUAAUAUAUUAUUAACUCAUAUUUAAUUAACUCAGAGGCCAAGCUCUAUACAUGUAUGAUUGGGUCAACAGUUCUACAAUCUCAAAAUUUAUUAAUAAUGUUCCAGAAGAAAAUAGAUUAAAUAUAAGUAGGAAUGCUAACAUUAGACUUCCAUCCCAAGUCAUGUAAAAAUGUUCCUGUAUUAUUCUAUAAUAGUGGUUAUUACUCAAAUAAUAUUUUUAAAUAUCUGGAAGUAAACAGUGGAAUUCAGUGAUAUUUCUGCACAUAAAUAAAAGUAUUAUAAAAUUAUGUUUCCUUUCUGUCCUACUGGGGAUUGAACCCAGGGCCUAGACAAGUGCUCUACCACUGAGCAACUUCCCCAGCCCUGUUUUGAAACUGAGACAUGGUUUCACUAAAUUACUGGUACUGGUCUCUGACUUGCUAUCCUAUCCUCCUGCAUUCAGCCUCCCAAGGCACACAACCAUACCUGGCUAUAAUAUUAAUAUUUUAUUAUUAAGUAUCAGUAAUGAAUAUUGCUGAUACUUGCUCUAAUCAUAAACAUUAUUGCUGAAAAUAUUUAAUUUUGAAAGAAUAAAACAGGACCGAUUGCAAAGCACCUUAAUUUGAAUUCUCUUUACAUAUUUCUCUUGAAAGUGGCAUACUAAACAUGUAUAACUUAAGAAUUUUUCUUUUAUUUUGUUUAAAUAUCUCAUAAAAAUAUGGUUUGAUUUUUUUUGUUCCAAUAAUAUUUUUUAACAUAUUGGCUUAUACUUUCUCUCCUCUCUCUGCUCUCUUUCUCUCUUCUGUCUGCUCUCUGCCUCUCCUGUUCUUCCCCUUCAAACAGCCCCCCAAUAAAUCUCUUGGUGGAAAAAAAUAAAAAUAUUGGCUUAUAGUUGACACAUUGGUUUUCCAAACAAUGGGUUUUGUCAGAUAUGUAAUUUCUAUUGCCAAUUUUUAGAAAAGAAACUGUGAGUGAAAAAUUUGUAGUAAAAUUCAUUAAAUUGUGGAAAUAUG